AUUUCUCCUCGGCCUUUUGGCUAAGAUCAAGUGUAGUAUCUGUUCUUAUCAGUUUAAUAUAUAUAUAAAAUUCUAGAUCCAAAAUACUUAUUUUAUAUUUAUAUUUCAACACAAAUAUGAUACUGUUGCAGGGUUUUUGUCUGCAACUCAGGAUUCCAUUUUUAAAGACCCAGCCUGUGUACAGAAUUCCUA